UACGUAGGGUGCGAGCGUUGUCCGGAAUUAUUGGGCGUAAAGAGCUCGUAGGCGGUCUGUCGCGUCGGUCGUGAAAACUUGGGGCUUAACCCUGAGCUUGCGGUCGAUACGGGCAUGACUGGAGUUCGGCAGGGGAGACUGGAAUUCCUGGUGUAGCGGUGAAAUGCGCAGAUAUCAGGAGGAACAUCAGUGGCGAAAGCGGGUCUCUGGGCAACAACUGACGCUGAGGAGCGAAAGCGUGGGGAGCGAACAGG
rnacentral:rRNA from 1 species